UGAUGAUGAUGAAGGCAGCUUAUCAACUACGACUUAAACCUAUCCCAAGCUUGAUACAAAUUCUCUCUACCUGUCUGCCUGAAACUCAAUAUAUCACUCCUCAAUUU
rfam:Solanum lycopersicum cultivar Heinz 1706 chromosome 9, whole genome shotgun sequence.